ACCCUCUGUUACACUUCCGCCUCACGGAGCAGUUUGGAACCCAAAUGGACCAGUACCUGCUGAUCCCGGUGAGAGGCUGCGGGGCAAACGAAGCGGAUCCGCCGUCCUCAUGAUGCUUAAAUUAUUGAAAGGAAAAAUGCUGCACUUCAAAGAACUGUGUUCGUCACUCCCACUCACGCUGUGGGCGCCGCUGGAUUCUCUGUAGACAUCCGGUGAAACGAUGAUAAACUCACAAUGUUUGUCCAACAACAGCAAGUCAUCAAACUGGGUCACAGAGAGACAGAAGUACCGCUGAAAGCAUCCGUCAUUCAGUCGCAGCUCCUGCAGUAGAUGAUGAACCUCACCGUACUGAGAGUCUGAAUGAUCUCAUAAACCCGGACAUGGAGACGUGACUAUUGACACUUUUGUAGAGCUCUUUAAAAUAAAUAAACCUGAUCUCUCAACAUCAUCCGUGUCUUCCAUGCAUCGUAAAUGAGAUAUACAGUCUAUGCUUCCUCGUAGCGAUGAAACUGACAGUAGCUUCUCCCACAAGCGGCAGGAACAUCUACAUUAUGAACACAUUUUUGGACAAGCGUCCAAAAGCAACAGGGACAGAGGACGCAAAAUCCCCACAUGAAUGUGAAGGUUUCCACUAACAAGUCUGAGUGUGUUGGAGUGACUCACGUGAACAGGGCUC